CACUCCUACGGGAGGCAGCAGUGGGGAAUAUUGCACAAUGGGCGCAAGCCUGAUGCAGCCAUGCCGCGUGUAUGAAGAAGGCCUUCGGGUUGUAAAGUACUUUCAGCGGGGAGGAAGGCGAUAAGGUUAAUAACCUUGUUGAUUGACGUUACCCGCAGAAGAAGCACCGGCUAACUCCGUGCCAGCAGCCGCGGUAAUACGGAGGGUGCAAGCGUUAAUCGGAAUUACUGGGCGUAAAGCGCACGCAGGCGGUCUGUCAAGUCGGAUGUGAAAUCCCCGGGCUCAACCUGGGAACUGCAUUCGAAACUGGCAGGCUAGAGUCUUGUAGAGGGGGGUAGAAUUCCAGGUGUAGCGGUGAAAUGCGUAGAGAUCUGGAGGAAUACCGGUGGCGAAGGCGGCCCCCUGGACAAAGACUGACGCUCAGGUGCGAAAGCGUGGGGAGCAAACAGGAUUAGAAACCCGGGUAGUCCCA
rnacentral:rRNA from 1 species